rnacentral:lncRNA from 1 species
UGACCCUCACUAGAGUUGGAAAGUUUAAAUGGACCAAUUUUAAUAGAAGAAAUAGAGAAAUGUAUUAAGGAACUAUUCUACACAAAAGCACCAAGGGCUUUGACAGGAAAUUCUACCAUACCUUCAAAGACCAAUGUUCUCUAAAAUAUUUCAGAGCACUGAAAAAGAAGGAAAACUUCCCAAUUCAUUUUAUGAAUCUAAUAAAAUACCGAUACCCAAACCAGAUAAAGAGUAUACAGAAAUAUACUAACCAGUAUCAUUAAUAAAUAGCAUUGAAAAUUUUUGAAAUUUAGCAAACAGAAUCCAACAUCACAUUAAGAAAAUAAUACACCAUGAAUUAAUGGGAUUUAUUCAAUAAUUCAAGGUUGGUUCACUAUUCAAAAUCCAUUAAUACCAUAGUCCACAUUAAUAAACCUAAGGGGGAAAAAUAAUAUGAUUAUUUCCAGGGAUGCUGAGAGAGCCUUUGACAAAAUCCAGUACCCCUUCAUGAAGCAAACAAAAAUCAACUACAACAGAACAAAAACCCUCAAGAACAUAGGAACUGAGCCCCUGGCCCACAGCCUGGUACCCUGGAGCUCCAUAAAUACCUGUUGAGUGAAUGAGAGGAUGAAGGCUUCUGCAGAGAGAGAGUGGAAGAAAAGUGGCGUCUUUUGACUUCGGACUUGGCUUUCCUUGCAGAGGCCUCAGGGAGGAACAACACGGAAACAAAGAUGGCCUUGUCCUGGGCCCUUCCCUCCCUGCCCCACUGUCCUCCUCUGCAUCCUACAGCAGCCUGGGGGGAGGUGGAAAUGGGCCCCUUUGUUCUGCUUCCAGAAUUCCACUCCCACUGGGUGGAGGCCUGGCUGCAGCCCCCUCCUUCCUCUGCCAGUUCUUCCUAAUCCUGAGCGACUCGCCAAAGCCUUGGAUCUUCACACCGUGGGUCUCGCUGUGAGGACGGGCCUAAGCUCACAGGUAGCCUCAGAGACAGAUACGGGUGCAGAGGGAAGAGGGGGUCCCCACCUGUUACCUCCCAGUCCUCUUCAUCAGUGUCCCCAGGACCUAUCACACAGGACAAAUGAAACUGGGAGACGCCGUCUAGAGUGGGAACCCAGGUGAACACUAAUCCAGUGUGGGCUGCAGACCUGUUUUUCCCUGGUCCCUGACAUGAGUAAAUUCAGAAAAUGAGGGUAAGUGCUUUGAGAUGUUAACAUGAUAGAGUACUUUACUUUUAUGACUAUUGAAUCAAAUAACUUUUCAAGGGUUUUAAUGGAUUAUCAGACCAUGGAAAGAUACAGGAAACUUGAAUGCAUAUUACUAAGUGAAAGAAGUCAGUCUGAAAAGGCUGUAUAGUAUCUGAUUCCAACUGUGUGACAUUCUGGAGAAAGCAAAACUAUGGAGACUGUCAAAGGACCAGUGGUUGUCAGGAGUUAGGGGAGAGAGGCAUGACUGGGUAGAGCACAGAGGAUUUUAGGGCAGUGGAACUACUCUGUAUACUACUACAGUGGUGGAUACAGGUCAUCAUGCAUUGUUCAAAUUCAUGGAAUGGACGACACCAAAGGUUAACUCCAGCCAGAAGUGCUGGUCUCUUACCCCUGCCCCAUUCUUAGCACUGGGCCUCAGUUUCCUUUCCUGCAAAUUGAGGGGGUAGCAUGAUCUGACCUACCCAAUUAGACAGUUCAGCAAAUGUCUGGUUCUUUUGACAAAUACAGGCAGCGUCUGGAAAUUAGGGGCCAUAGACUCCUCCUCCAAACCUCACCAUCAAGAUGCUCCAAUGAAAGCAGGUCUUGGGCAAUUCUGCCAGCCAGCCAUGCUCAUUGGCAAGGCUGCACAAAACAGUUUGUAAGCUUGGGGAAGUCCUAGCUGUCCUCAGAUUCUCAGAUACGUAGCUUGCUUGAAAGGUUGGGGUUCUGAAGGAGCAGCUUGAAUCUCAGUCCAUCCUGUGACAAUCUCACAAAGUGGGGACCAGAUUCUGAUGCCUCAUUGGGACAGAGGCAACAAUGACUAUGCAGUGCUCCUAGCUGGCCACAUGUUGUGAACAUUAUUUACUUCACCAGUGAAAACUUAUUUCAAACAUCCCUUAUGCUAAUUAAUCAACCCUCUGGUAUAAUUUUGAUAACCACAUUUGAAAUGCUUUGUUAAAACCACUGGACUAUGGAUUCCUAAGGAACUCCAAAGGCGAAACAGCUGCCCUCGCUAUAUAUGUUCAGUUAACCUAUGAGCAUGUGUAUCAUUAUUAAUGCUUAAGUAUUUAAAAGUAUAUUACUACCCAGAUGAACUAGGAAGGAGAUAAAUCACAUGACUUCUGAGUUCCCUCCCAUGCUAAAUAUAUGUAAACUAUUGUUAUAUAUAUAUAUGUUUCUGUGUUUUUUUUUUUUACUUUAAUACUCCUUAAAGUCAGGGAAGGAAGGCAGAAAUAGGUUUUCAGAUUUCGCCAUUUCUGAAGUUGCAGGGACAAUUCCAUGAAGCUAAGACAGGCCCCCCCUUGCUCCUGGUGUCCAUCUAACUGAUGCUCUCAGGCUUUAUGCCUCCUUUCCUCUUCCAGUUGUCGCUGGCAAUUUCUCAUUCCUCGGGAUGGCUGAGGCCAUCUCUGUGACUGUCCCCCCAAAGCUAGAAGCCAGACACUGUUCACACUUGUGGUGCCCACCUGUCUUCCUUGAGCCUUUCAGGUACACAGGGAGGCCUGCGGUGGCAGGUGGAGGUGAGCAAUAGGGUUCAGAAGGGAAGGUGGAGAGGGAUGCAGCUGGGAAAAAAAAAAAAAAGAUUCCAGAGCAGUGAGAAAGGCACAGCCAGGCCUGAGUGAGGGAAGGAAAGGCCAGUCCCUUCUCUUGCCUGGCUACAGGAGUGGGACAAAGUGGUUGGCUAACUGCUGUGGGGCCUCACUUGGAGAAACCAGUUUGGGGGUACACAAGGAGCUGUGAAGGAGAGAAGAAAUUAGACUAGGCCGCAUGGGCAGUCCACGGAAUGUUGGAGAACUACGGUGAGGCCCUCAAACAGGGCAAGGGCUUACCCCGGGCAGUGGGCCAGACCCCACUGGACAGCUAUGGUGCUGACAGGAGGACUCCUAGAGAAAUGGAAAGAUCAUGAGCCUGAAGGGGAAUUCAGUUUCUGGGAAUGGGCGGAUAAGAACGGAGAAAAUGUCAUUCUGAGAUGUCACUGUAGAUCUUCCCCAAACAGAGCUGACCCCAGGCAAGGGGCCUGACCCCAGCCUGUUCACAGCCCUCCAUCUCUCCCAUUUCUAGGGCUGUUUCCACAGCCCCCUUCCCACCGCAGCUCAGCACCUCCACACCAGUGUCUUUCCCCUCCUUUCCUCCAUCCCUUGUCCCCACCACAGUUCCCACUCUGGCAUGGUUCGUUGGCUUGGACCCAGGAAAUCUGUGGUCUGGAGAGGCAAGCUAGAAGUCUUAACAGCCCUUUCCCACAGAAGCAUGAAAUGGCAAACCAAUUUCAUGUUUGGGAGGUCGAGGAACAGAGCAGUUUCUGGAGUUGGACUGCCUGGGUGUGAAUGGCAGCUCCACCCCUUAGCUGCGGAGGGACCGUGCGCAAAUUACUGAACCUCAUUUUCCACAUCUGUCAAAUAGGGACAAUAAUAGCUUCCACCGCCUAUGCUGUCAUGAGCACAAAAUAGGAGUGUGUGCAAAGCUCUUAGCAUAGUAGCUGGUGCACAGGCAGUGCCCAGCAAGAAGCAGUACUCCAUUUCCUAUGUAACCUCUCUACUCAACUCCUCACCUCCACUCAUGUCUGGCCCAAACUAUUCUCCAUGCAGCAUGGUGAUCUUUUGAAAAUAUGCUGACAUCCAUCACUCUUCUGCUGAAAACUCCUCAACAGUAUCUCAUUGCUAGCACAACAGGCAGCCUGUGCAGCUACUGCCCACCGCUGCCCUGACUCGGGGCUGUGGUCACAGUGGCCUCUGGUGUUCUUCGCCCCUCUCUCUCUACCUGGAACAUUCUUCCCUGAUCCACUAAGUCGUGACUCAGCUCAAGUGCCAUUUCCUCGAAGAAGAAGCCCCUCUAACCACCUAUUGCUCUUUUUCAGCAAUAAUCCCCAAUCUGUAAUUACUUUAUUGAUUUAUUGUCCGUGAUCCCAUGAGAAGGCAGCUCCAUGAAGCCAUCCAGCCAAGUGCUUGCUGAAUGAACGAUACAGCCCGAAGGAUACAUGUAAUAACAAAUAUUACACAUCAAGCCCAGUGGCCCAAAGUAAACAUGUUUAUUCUCAGUUCUGCCUUAGGGGUCUCUAGUUUUGCAAGCAUGAGUAAAUGGAAUCAACAAUAAUCCUCUCCUUAAAUGUCUGGCAUUAAAAUUUGUCACUUAAGAAGUUUCCUGUUUUGCCUAAAGAGAGUGUGAUUUGAGGGUGACCUGAAACAAGGCUUGAGGCUUGUGGA